rnacentral:rRNA from 1 species
GGGCCCGCACAAGCGGUGGAGUAUGUGGUUUAAUUCGAUGCAACGCGAAAAACCUUACCUACACUUGACAUACUUCGAAUUUUCUAGAGAUAGAUUAGUGCCUUCGGGAGCGAAGAUACAGGUGCUGCAUGGCUGUCGUCAGCUCGUGUCGUGAGAUGUUGGGUUAAGUCCUAUAACGAGCGCAACCCUUACCCUUAUUUGCCAGCGGUUAGGCCGGGAACUAUAAGGGAACUGCCGGUAAUAAGCCGGAGGAAGGUGGGGACGACGUCAAGUCAUCAUGGCCCUUACGUGUAGGGCUACACACCGUGCUACAAUGGGAGAUACAGACGGUUGCUAAAGCGCGAGCUGGAGCCAAUCCGACAAAGUCUCUCGUAGUCCGAAAUUGCAGUCUGGAACUCGACUGCAUGAAGCCGGAAUCGCUAGUAAUCGCGGAUC